rnacentral:rRNA from 1 species
GACGAAGGGGGCUAGCGUUGUUCGGAAUUACUGGGCGUAAAGCGCGUGUAGGUGGUUGUCGUAGUCAGGCGUGAAAGCCUUGAGCUCAACUCAAGAAAUGCGCUUGAUACUGGGCAGCUAGAGGACCGGAGAGGAUAGUGGAAUUCCCAGUGUAGUGGUGAAAUGCGUAGAUAUCGGGAGGAACACCAGUGGCGAAGGCGGUUGCCUGGAGCUUUGCUGACGCUGAUGCGCGAAAGCGUGGGGAGCGAUCCGG